UACGUAGGGGGCAAGCGUUGUCCGGAAUUAUUGGGCGUAAAGAGCGUGUAGGCGGUCCGGUAAGUCAGCUGUGAAAGUCAAGGGCUCAACCCUUGAAAGCCGGUUGAUACUGUCGGGCUAGAGUCCGGAAGAGGCGAGUGGAAUUCCCGGUGUAGCGGUGAAAUGCGCAGAUAUCGGGAGGAACACCAGUAGCGAAGGCGGCUCUCUGGGCCGGUACCGACGCUGAGGAGCGAAAGCUAGGGGAGCGAACAGG
rnacentral:rRNA from 1 species